rnacentral:rRNA from 1 species
UACGUAGGGUGCGAGCGUUGUCCGGAAUUAUUGGGCGUAAAGAGCUUGUAGGCGGUCUGUCGCGUCUGCUGUGAAAAUCCGGGGCUCAACCCCGGACUUGCAGUGGGUACGGGCAGACUAGAGUGUGGUAGGGGAGACUGGAAUUCCCGGUGUAGCGGUGAAAUGCGCAGAUAUCGGGAGGAACACCUAUGGCGAAGGCAGCUCGCUGGGACGUUACUGACGCUGAGACGCGAAAGCGUGGGGAGCAAACAGG